AUUGAACGCUGGCGGCAGGCCUAACACAUGCAAGUCGAACGGUAACAGGAAACAGCUUGCUGUUUCGCUGACGAGUGGCGGACGGGUGAGUAAUGUCUGGGAAACUGCCUGAUGGAGGGGGAUAACUACUGGACACGGUAGCUAAUACAGCAUAACGUCGCAAGACCAAACAGGGGCGCCUUCGGGCCUCUUGCCAUCGGAUGUGCCCAGAUGGGAUUAGCUAGUAGGUGGGGUAACGGCUCACCUAGGCGACGAUCCCUAGCUGGUCUGAGACGAUGACCAGCCACACUGGAACUGAGACACGGUCCAGACUCCUACGGGAGGCAGCAGUGGGGAAUAUUGCACAAUGGGCGCAAGCCUGAUGCAGCCAUGCCGCGUGUAUGAAGAAGGCCUUCGGGUUGUAAAGUACUUUCAGCGGGGAGGAAGGGAGUAAAGUCAAUACCUUUGCUCAUUGACGUUACCCGCAGAAGAAGCACCGGCUAACUCCGUGCCAGCCGCCGCUGUAA
rnacentral:rRNA from 1 species